CGAGUCAGCCGGGUGAUCGCGGGCGCAGGGCCGCAAGGCCGCGUCCGAGGAAAGUCCGGGCUGCACAGGGCACGGUGCUGGGUAACGCCCAGCGGGGGCGACCCCCGGGAAAGUGCCACAGAAACAUACCGCCGGUGGAACCGGCGCGGGGCGCGGCCUGCGCCGCGCGCCGCCGGCCACCGGUAAGGGUGAAAAGGUGCGGUAAGAGCGCACCAGCGGCCAGGCGACUGGCCGGCUAGGCAAACCCCACCGGCAGCAAGGCCGAGUAGGAGGGCGAUGAGGUGGCCCGCUGAGCCCUCGGGUUGGCCGCUGGAGGCCCCGGGUGACCGGGUGCCCUAGAUAGAUGAUCACCCUCGACAGAACCCGGCUUACAGGCUGGCUCGGCCC
rnacentral:RNase_P_RNA from 1 species